rnacentral:rRNA from 1 species
AGCUUGCUACUCUGCCGGCGAGCGGCGGACGGGUGAGUAAAGUCUGGGRAUCUGGCUUAUGGAGGGGGAUAACCAUUGGAAACGGUGGCUAAUACCGCAUGAUGUCGCAAGACCAAAGUGGGGGACCUUARGGCCUCACGCCAUGAGAUGAACCCAGAUGAGAUUAGCUAGUAGGUGCGGUAAUGGCGUACCUAGGCGACGAUCUCUAGCUGGUCUGAGAGGAUGACCAGCCACACUGGAACUGAGAGACGGUCCAGACUCCUACGGGAGGCAGCAGUGGGGAAUAUUGCACAAUGGGCGGAAGCCUGAUGCAGCCAUGCCGCGUGUGUGAAGAAGGCCUUAGGGUUGUAAAGCACUUUCAGCGGGGAGGAAGGCGGUAAGAGUAAUAUGCUUAUCRAUUGACGUUACCCGCAAAAGAAGCACCGGCUAACUCCGUGCCAGCAGCCGCGGUAAUACGGAGGGUGCGAGCGUUAAUCGGAAUAACUGGGCGUAAAGRGCAUGUAGGCGGUAAGUUAAGUCAGAUGUGAAAUCCCCGAGCUUAACUUGGGAACGGCAUUUGAGACUGGCUGGCUAGAGUUUUGUAGAGGGGGGUAGAAUUCCAGGUGUAGCGGUGAAAUGCGUAGAGAUCUGGAGGAAUACCGGUGGCGAAGGCGGCCCCCUGGACAAGGACUGACGCUGANGUGCGAAAGCGUGGGUAGCAAACAGGAUUAGAUACCCUGGUAGUCCACGCUGUAAACGAUGUCGAUUUGGAGGUUGUGACCUANUGUUAUGG